GAUUUCUGCCCCUGGGGGAGGGUGCGAGAGUCUCACCCCAAGAGUCUGGACAUUGCGUCACAAAGCAACCUUGCCCCGCUCCCCCAGACCCGCAGAAGAGCUCCGUGCAGCAGGGAAGCUUCUCUCUCACCAGCAGAAAUCUAUAUUGGACUAGAAUUAUUCAGCUCUUCUAGUGGCAUGUCAAAUGCAACAUCCAGGCCAUAUAUUGGGCAUUUUCUAUGUCUCUCUGCUUUCAUCAAAGUAUGCAGUAUGUAUGAACUAUGGGCCAAAUUAAUCCCUGAUGUAACUGCAGAAGUCAACAACGUUUUGGAUUUAUUUGGAAAUAUAUAAAAAGCCUAAGAUUGCAAAGAAGAUGGGACACAGUCCUAUGGUCUGCAUCAAGCUGUAGGAUCAUGUGACUGUGCUGUUGCCUGUAUUAUAUCUUACCCAAUCAGAUCUUCAGACAAUAACUUGCUGCAGGGCCUGCAGCUGGACUAAGCCGUUAAGAAUCCAGCCAGUACAUUUGGGAAGAAAAAAGAAACACAAGAAGAGAGAACGGAGAUAAAGGAGACUAGAAGGAGAUAAAAAUACCAAGAGAGGAAAUCAAAGAGAGAUAAGAGGUUGGAAGAAAGCAGGUAGACCAAAGGCCCAGUUCUGAUCUCUGAUAAGAAAGUGCAGAUUAUUGCUGCAUGUCUUAUCUGCUGUGGUCACAAGCAAAGUACUUGACAAGAUUCAUGGUGGUGUAUGCCUGCAUUUUGGAGAUCAGAAUCAAACACUAAUAAAAGAAAGGAGGAAUGUGAUUGAGAAAGCUGCCAAGCUUAUCUUGUUAAAAUUGUUUGUGUACAUUACCUUCCUUUGCUUUAUUUACCAGUCAAAUACAGUUAAAAAUUGUCAAACUGAUUUUUCCUUCCAGAAUUUAACACUAAGAUCAUCAUGAUAAGAUUAUUAUUUUACAGCUGAGGUAUAAGCCCACAAAAAGAGUUUAAAAGUGGAAAUACCGGCAGAAACUUUCACUAUAAAGCAGCUAGAGUCAUAAAAAGUUUUAACACAAUGAACAAUCCCUAAUGAUUAAUUUUAAAUGGUUUACUAUAUAGGGAAAUAACACAAUCUGCUGAAGAUGCCAAAACACAGGAGUUAAUAUACUGUAUGUGGUUUCCACAAAUUUUCACUUAAAUUGAAGGAAUGGCCCAUAUAACUCUUAGAUACAGAAUCUGUGCAGCAUCAUUUAUUGCUAGCAGUUCAAACACGUUGGUUCCCCUGCUACGAUCAACUGUUCAGGAGCUGCAUGCCGAUUUUUGCUUCCUCAGAAUAAUGCAGGGAAAACCACUUUAUAAUAACCUGUAGACACUGAUCGAUUUAUGUGUCAUAAUAGCAAUUUUACAUUGAUGGGACAACUAGAACUUUCAGUCUUCUUUAAGGACACCUAAGCUUCCAGCCACAAAGAAAAUGGAGACCCUAUUGUAUUUCCAUUCUCUGAGGACUUCUGUUUAUUAGAAUAUAUGAAACCGAUUUCAGACCCAUCUUUAACUGUCAGUACUUAAAUCAGUGGCCUCAACAGCAAACGGAAUAAAAUAAUAAUUCUCUGUGACCAGUAAUAGAAGCUACAUACUUUUUAAAUGUCACCAUAUGCGCCGUUUUAUACACUUCAAAAAGCAACAUUCCCUCACUUAAUGCAUACGCAUGAAUAACAGAGACAUUUGUUUAUCUUUUAAAAUGUCACUUUCAAUUCCUCUCCCAUUAAAAAACACCCUGGAGGUUUCAAAUCAGUUUGAAAGAAAAUCAUGUGCAUGUUUAAGUUAACAAUACUUUGUCAGACUAGGGCAAAGAACUGGAGAUUUCUGUAGGAAACAUCAUGAAUUGGCAGCGAGAUGAAUCAAAUGGCCUGAUAGCUCUUUUUCCAUCUCUAACGUUUAUGAUUCUAGAAAGCCCUCGAGUGUAACUCUCUGAAUUUUAAAAGCAUUAUUGACCGCAUGAUUGCUAGUGCGCUCAACUCCAGCUAGACAGGGGUCAGCAACCUUUCAGAAGUGGUGUGCCGAGUCUUCAUUUAUUCAC